UGUUGCUCCCGCCUGCACGCGCCCGGGGGGACCCGAGGCUGGCCCACCUGCGGGCAGUGGUCAGCGGGCCGUGGAGCCCGGAUUCCGAGGUCGAAACCGAGUUCCUGUCCCAGCUGGAUGCCCUUGGGCGGAGAUGGGGUCCCCAAGGUGGAGCUCCUGGGGAUGGGGUUAGCGCGCUUCUAACAGAGACCCCAGGGAGCUCGUGGGGAGGGUCCCCAUGUGGGGUCCCAGACACCUGGACGCCAGAGUCCCGCGGGGCUCGCUGUGCCGCCAACCCGCCCUGCCCUGUCUGUGGCAUCGAGUUCCAGCAGCCCGUGGGGGUUCACAAGACCUCCGUCAGCCCCAGCCCACCCAACUCGGGGUCACUCCGGAGAGACGAUGGCCCCGGGGUGCUGAGAUGGGGCAGGAGCUCAGAUGUGCAGCUCACCAGGACCUCGCGGGGUUGACAUCCCCUGGCUGGUGAUGGGGGGCGUGAACAAGAGACAAGGAUCUUGGAGGACAGGGAUCACGCUUCGACAUCUCUGUCCAGCCUAGUAGCGGACGAGCUCUUCGCUGACCUCGAGGCCACAGGGGACACUUGGAGGACGUCAGGACGGGUCAGAGCUGCUGGAGGCACAGAGCGGCGGAGGAAUGGGCGAGCAGCCCUGCUGUUACCUCCUCGUUUAUACGUGAGAAAAUGAGAGACCCAUCCAGAGUCACCCCGAGUAGACGGGGACUCUGCAACACCAGGUUGGCCUGACCCCGAAGCUGAUGAUCUUAACCACGGACCAUAAUGCUUCCAGGCCCUGCUUUUUACCCAGAAGACAUACACCACACACUCAUCCCCAGCAGAACGGUGACUUACAACUACGUUUACACAUGUGUAAAAGAAAUUAUGAAUACGAGUACAAAUGUACUCUGUUUGCAAAUAGAGUAAUGGAAAUGCUGUUUGGAAGUUUAGAAAAACACACGCUAAGGGGAAAAAAAAAACAAGAACCCAAAAUCGAAUUUACAAAUCAUUCAUACAACAGUAACAACGAGAAUUAUGUAUUAUGACAAAAGAUGAAAACUCAGCAGAAAAACUAGCAAAGGGUGUGAUUAGGAAGCUGAAGAAAGUUGCACACAUGGCCCAAAAUAAACGGGAAAAGGUUCAGAUUUUCUAACUAAAGAAAGAGAAACUAGAGCAAGAAAGGGUUUUGGAAAAUGACGAAGCCCUCUGUUGGAAAUGCUGUAGGGAGAGCGAUGAUUAGGAGGACACUUUGCUGUGCUGUGAUGGGGAGUGUAAAUGCUUCUGAGGACAAGCCCCCCCCCCCUUUCUUUAAAAGAUUUUAUGUAUUUAUUUGACAGACAGAGAGCACAAGUAGGCA